AUGAUUAUCUGUGACACCUAUGGUGCACUGUGAGCAGGUAUACAGGCCCACAUAGCAUGCAGAUAAUUAUCUGUGACACCCAUGGUGCACUGUGAGCAGGUAUACAGGCCCACAGAGCAUGCAGAUAGUCAUCUAUGACACCCAUGGUGCACUGUGAGCAGGUAUACAGGCCCACAGAGCAUGCAGAUAAUCAUCUGUGACACCCAUGGUGCACUGUGAGCAGGUAUACAGACCCACAGAGCAUGCAGAUAAUCAUCUGUGACACCCAUGGUGCACUGUGAGCAGGUAUACAGGCCCACACAGCAUGCAGAUAAUCAUCUGUGACACCCAUGGUGCACUGUGAGCAGGUAUACAGACCCACAUAGCAUGCAGAUAAUUAUCUGUGACACCCAUGGUGCACUGUGAGCAGGUAUACAGACCCACAGAGCAUGCAGAUAAUCAUCUGUGACACCCAUGGUGCACUGUGAGCAGGUAUACAGGCCCACAGAGCAUGCAGAUAGUCAUCUGUGACACCCAUGGUGCACUGUGGGCAGGUAUACAGGCCCACAGAGCAUGCAGAUAAUUAUCUGUGACACCCAUGGUGCACUGUGAGCAGGUAUACAGACCCACAUAGCAUGCAGAUAAUUAUCUGUAACACCCAUGGUGCACUGUGAACAGGUAUACAGGCACACAUAGCAUGCCGAUAAUCAUCUGUGACACCCAUGGUGCACUGUGAGCAGGUAUACAGACCCACAUAGCAUGCAGAUAAUUAUCUGUAACACCCAUGGUGCACUGUGAACAGGUAUACAGGCACACAUAGCAUGCCGAUAAUCAUCUGUGACACCCAUGGUGCACUGUGAGCAGGUAUACAGGCCCACAGAGCAUGCAGAUAGUCAUCUGUGACACCCAUGGUGCACUGUGAGCAGGUAUACAGACCCACAUAGCAUGCAGAUAAUUAUCUGUGACACCCAUGGUGCACUGUGAGCAGGUAUACAGGCCCACAGAGCAUGCAGAUAGUCAUCUGUGACACCCAUGGUGCACUGUGAGCAGGUAUACAGACCCACAUAGCAUGCAGAUAAUUAUCUGUGACACCCAUGGUGCACUGUGAGCAGGUAUACAGACCCACAUAGCAUGCAGAUAAUUAUCUGUGACACCCAUGGUGCACUGUGAGCAGGUAUACAGGCCCACAGAGCAUGCAGAUAGUCAUCUGUGACACCCAUGGUGCACUGUGAGCAGGUAUACAGACCCACAUAGCAUGCAGAUAAUUAUCUGUAACACCCAUGGUGCACUGUGAACAGGUAUACAGGCACACAUAGCAUGCCGAUAAUCAUCUGUGACACCCAUGGUGCACUGUGAACAGGUAUACAGGCCCACAGAGCAUGCAGAUAGUCAUCUGUGACACCCAUGGUGCACUGUGAGCAGGUAUACAGACCCACAUAGCAUGCAGAUAAUUAUCUGUGACACCCAUGGUGCACUGUGAGCAGGUAUACAGGCCCACAGAGCAUGCAGAUAGUCAUCUGUGACACCCAUGGUGCACUGUGAGCAGGUAUACAGACCCACAUAGCAUGCAGAUAAUUAUCUGUAACACCCAUGGUGCACUGUGAACAGGUAUACAGGCACACAUAGCAUGCCGAUAAUCAUCUGUGACACCCAUGGUGCACUGUGAGCAGGUAUACAGACCCACAUAGCAUGCAGAUAGUCAUCUGUGACACCCAUGGUGCACUGUGAGCAGGUAUACAGACCCACAUAGCAUGCAGAUAAUUAUCUGUGACACCCAUGGUGCACUGUGAGCAGGUAUACAGGCCCACAGAGCAUGCAGAUAGUCAUCUGUGACACCCAUGGUGCACUGUGAGCAGGUAUACAGACCCACAUAGCAUGCAGAUAAUUAUCUGUGACACCCAUGGUGCACUGUGAGCAGGUAUACAGGCCCACAGAGCAUGCAGAUAGUCAUCUGUGACACCCAUGGUGCACUGUGAG